AGAUUGAACGCUAGCAGGAUGCUUUACACAUGCAAGUCGAACGGCAGCGCGGACUUCGGUCUGGCGGCGAGUGGCGAACGGGUGAGUAAUAUAUCGGAACGUGCCCAGUAGCGGGGGAUAACUACGCGAAAGCGUGGCUAAUACCGCAUACGCCCUACGGGGGAAAGGGGGGGAUUCUUCGGAACCUCUCACUAUUGGAGCGGCCGAUAUCAGAUUAGCUAGUUGGUGAGGUAAAGGCUCACCAAGGCGACGAUCUGUAGCUGGUUUGAGAGGACGACCAGCCACACUGGGACUGAGACACGGCCCAGACUCCUACGGGAGGCAGCGAGUGGGGAAUUUGGACAAGUGGGGGAAACCUGAUCCAGCCA
rnacentral:rRNA from 1 species